GGCACAUGGCAGGUGACAAGUCUGGGAGGCUGAGAAGGACAGGAAGUCAAGUCUCAUAGAUAGGCCAGCUGGAAGAUGGGCUUGGGAGGCACAAACUAAGAUCCAGCCCCUCAGCAUUUCUUUGUUGUCAUCAUGCCAUCUGCGACAGCUGACAAUGACUAUGGGACUUUUCUGCUGGAGACCAGAAAGCCAUUUCCUGCAGCGGGGAGUAAGGCCGCGGUGGUUUGGCAUAAAGGCAAGCAGGAACCUGGGAAGAUAUGGCGAUGGUGGUAGCCCAGAGGAGGAGCCCCCACCAAAGAAGGCCCUCAGAGGAGUGGAUGUGCCUCCCUCACCCAGCCCACCAGUGUUCUCUUGACACUCCCUUCAUACCAGUUUUCCCCUCCUGGCCAACUCCAGAAGGCUGGUCCUGCAUAAACCCACUCUAGCCCAGCAUCCCCACCCCCUCCACCCCCAAUUAGAUAUGGGGGCUCUGUCUCCACACCCACCCCCCACCCCCCACCGAAGUUCUCACAGAAGCAAAGCACAAUCACCUUAGACUCUGGCAUGCUGAGGCCAGGCUGCAACUAAUGGCUUCCCCUCCUAGCCAGCCUAUUGUUUAAUAAAAAGAUCCACAAGUAGUA